rnacentral:rRNA from 1 species
GACGAACGCUGGCGGCGUGCUUAACACAUGCAAGUCGAACGGAAAGGCCCUGCUUUUGUGGGGUGCUCGAGUGGCGAACGGGUGAGUAACACGUGAGUAACCUGCCCUUGACUUUGGGAUAACUUCAGGAAACUGGGGCUAAUACCGGAUAGGAGCUCCUGCUGCAUGGUGGGGGUUGGAAAGUUUCGGCGGUUGGGGAUGGACUCGCGGCUUAUCAGCUUGCUGGUGGGGUAGUGGCUUACCAAGGCUUUGACGGGUAGCCGGCCUGAGAGGGUGACCGGCGACAUUGGGACUGAGAUACGGCGCAGAGUCGUACGGGGGGCAGCAGUGGGGAGUAUUGCACAAUGGGCGGGAGCCUGAUACAGCGACGCCGCGUGCGGGAUGACGGCCUUCGGGGUGUAAACCGCUUUCGCCUGUGACGAAGCGUGAGUGACGGUAAUGAAUAAAGAAGCACCGGCUAACUACGUG